UGCAAGACAAUGAAUCCAAAAAGGCUGAAAAAGGAAACAUUGGUAUCAACAAUCGAGCAGCCAUGUUCUUUGGAGCUUCAAAGUGUAUGACUAGAAUGAUGGCCACUACAAGUGCAAGCGAGCAGCC